CAAAAAAAAGAAUUGGUUUGAUGGCAUUGAAAAUUGGUUUCAGAGCACCAAAAGCAAGAACUGGUCUGAGAUCACUGGGAAUUUCUUAGAGAGAACCAAAAACGUAAACUGGUAUGAGAGCGCUAGAAAUUUGUGUGAGAGUGGUAAGAAUUUGUUAGGAAGGGUGAUCGAUUUCGUGAAAGGAAAUGUUGAGGUUAGGCAUUUGGUUAUCGGAGGUGUGGAUAUUGGCCUCGUCGCUGUUGUUAUUUGUGGGUGUAGAUCUGGUAGUGGUACUAAUGGCAGAAAAAUUAUGAAAGCUCCUGGUGGGAAUGGCCGAAUCAUUUACAGUGGCCCCUUUGAAAGAAACCCUAGAGGCUAUUUUCACGGCCAGCGCAACAAAAAGACUUGAAAAUCAAGCAGAUCCGCAUCAAGAUUAGGCCAGUUGUUUGGAAAUAAGAUUUAAUCACACUAUUUCUCUGUAAUGGCUUGCUCUAUUUUCUCA